rnacentral:lncRNA from 1 species
UCCAAUGGACCAGGUAUGCAAAAAUCUGCUACCGUGUCCCAAUCGCUAGACUGCAGGCCCUAUGCACGGAGAAAAGGUUGCAUUGUUGCGUCAGUUGUACCAAUCAGUGGGGCUCACUCCAGGAGCGCAAUUUGUGGGGACUUGAGAUGAUUCCCGGCAGCUGAUAGCACAGAUCCUACCAGCGAACAGGGUGCUGCUUUAUUUUGGACUACAUAAGGUGAGGAGGGAGAAGGGUUCUGCGUCAGUCGAUCAUCAAGCUUGCUUCUAGCGCCUUCUACUGCUCACUCUCGCUUUACAGUGGUGAGGUUCUGCUCUCUCGCCCGACGUUGCUACUGCUGUGAGUGUGCAUUGGUUCCUAUUUUUGUGGCUUAAGGCAUUGAAUUCAUCACUAAGUGUAGUCAUGGUUGGUUACCUUCCGGGUCCUCUCUCUAUGUCUUGCCAAGACAAACUGAUGGAGCGAGACCUAUCAGAUUUUAAGAUUCUAAACUUCUUUCAGAAAGCUGUGUUGUCAUGUGUAUUGUUACAUCAAUUAAUUUUGUCAUGUUUAUGAAUUGCAGCUUGAAACACUACACACCGACCCAUUACAAUGGCCAAGGAGAACGGCGGAAAGUGCGGCAACUGCGACUGCGCAGCGGGCACCUGCGCCAAGGAGAAUGGCGGCAAGUGCGGCAACUGCGAUUGCGCCGCAGGUUCUACUUCACAACCCUUAAUCCGUCACGACAGUCCUCAUCAGACAGGCAUAGGCUAAGCGCGUCAACUAGAGAACACAACCAUAUUCCUCGUCAUAUCUUGCUUUUCCGCUCACUAUAAUGGCGCAAACCAAAAGGUCGUCCUUGCAUGAUUUGCCGGCUUUUUUUGAACAUAUUACCAUGCAUGCCGCGUGAAAUUGUCGCUGACUGUGGCUAUGGUGGAGUUGACCCGUCAGGAACCUGCGCGAAGGAGAAUGGAGGCAAGUGCGGCAACUGCGACUGCGCUGCUGGAACUUGUGCCAAGGAAUAGACUAUCACCAAACAUGAUCGAUAGAUCAGGAGUGUAGACAAAAAAAUAUAUAUCUAAAAAAGAAAAGAAAAAAAGGUCCAUGUACCACUUACAUGAAUCUGUAUGUAUUGUGAGACUUAUAUUCGCAGUUGCCGCACCAUGGAUUGGAUUAGAAAGGCUAGCUGCGACGGGGGUGUGAGCAAAAAACGGAGAAGUGUAGUUGCAAUUUAAGAAAAAUUUGUAUCGCGUGUGUUCAUUGAAUAAAACCAGAGUGUGCUCCGGCACACACCUCCUUCUUUGGACCCACUGAUCCCCACCACUCACGUACAUCUCCCAGCGGCCCCACACUCUGAUUCUCCCGUACUAGCGACGAAUCCCACAUCUGACCCAUCUCGCAGCGACUCUGCUGCAGCCAUCGCAUCGUCCACAGAACUAUCUACACUGGAUCUGUCGAUGCCAGUUUAUUUGAUCUUCUUUUGCAUCUUCUAGUGCAUCAUUCAAACCUGAUUCUACGCUUCUACGCGUCGGACACGUCGAUCGCUAAAAGGCUAGUUUCUAGACAUGAUACUAGACGCUCCCAUGAGUUGUGAUCAACGAAUCCCGGUGUCUUUGCCUUCGAAACCUCGACAUUCCCAACCAUCGGCAUCAUUCGCUACCCGAUGGCUUUGUCUGAAUUUUGUGUGUCGAGUGCGAUUCGGCGCCGAUUUCACGGAGGUGCCGCAUUUGCGCUCAUUGAACAAUCUCUGCUUCCCGGUCUGAGUUUUUGUGAAUUCAUGGUGGUGAAUUCCGCACUGUGCCUAUGGCUACUUCUAAAGUUGCUUCUCACUAGCAUUCAACAAUAGACAAUGAACCAGUUAACAUAACAUGUUUAGGGGAAUGCUAAAUAGACCCAUGCUCAAUAAUAUGAUAUGUGGUUGGUUUUUAUUGGUUGCAGAUCCAAUCUAGAGGCCAUUUUAUGGGUGGAUAAAUUUAGUACUUGGCAUAUUUAACAUUCCUCUAUAUUUAUAUCAUUAUGUACAUGUAUGUAU